rnacentral:rRNA from 1 species
UGCAGUCGAGCGAGACCUUCGGGUCUAGCGGCGGACGGGUGAGUAACGCGUGGGAACGUACCCUUUUCUGCGGAAUAGCCUCGGGAAACUGAGAGUAAUACCGCAUACGCCCUUUUGGGGAAAGAUUUAUCGGAGAAGGAUCGGCCCGCGUUGGAUUAGGUAGUUGGUGGGGUAAUGGCCUACCAAGCCGACGAUCCAUAGCUGGUUUGAGAGGAUGAUCAGCCACACUGGGACUGAGACACGGCCCAGACUCCUACGGGAGGCAGCAGUGGGGAAUCUUAGACAAUGGGGGCAACCCUGAUCUAGCCAUGCCGCGUGAGUGAUGAAGGCCUUAGGGUUGUAAAGCUCUUUCAGCUGGGAAGAUAAUGACGGUACCAGCAGAAGAAGCCCCGGCUAACUCCGUGCCAGCAG